rnacentral:rRNA from 1 species
GAUCAUGGCUCAGGAUGAACGCUAGCUACAGGCUUAACACAUGCAAGUCGAGGGGCAGCAUGGUCUUAGCUUGCUAAGACCGAUGGCGACCGGCGCACGGGUGAGUAACGCGUAUCCAACCUGCCUUACACUCUUGGACAGCCUUGCGAAAGUAAGACUAAUACCCAAUGAUAUCUCUAGAAGACAUCUGAAAGAGAUUAAAGAUUCAUCGGUGAUGGAUGGGGA